GAGCUAAAGAACAAAUUUUGGCACCGGAAAUUAAAGCUUUUUUCUCGAAACAAGGACCAUAGUCACCUUCCACCGGACUUAAAGGCCUCUCGAGUCUCAUCCUCUUAUUUCUUUUUCUUCACUUGGUGAUUUCUCCUCAAAUUCCUAACGACUUUCGAACUUUACAUGACCACCAAACAGAUCACUCCAAGCGCAAAGGCCGAGAAAAUUAAAAAUAAAGCUGCUUCGUCCAAAUGAUGCAAAUAUGAAAACAGACGCAGGAAGUAAAGAGGAUUUGACUCGCGUUGAAAAUGUUGAUAGCUUGAGGAAGUGUUUAGCGUGGAGAUGUGAUCUUGUUGGUUCAUGCAAGAGGAACGCCGUGACGGGGCCGGGAAGUCUGGCAGUUCCCGAGAUCAACGCAGAAAACAAAGUGGGAAGGGAAAGGGAGUACCGGAAACGGAUCCUCUUGAGAUCGUUGCCGCCCUGAGGGAGAGAGAGGAAGGUGAUUAGGACUCCCGGUUCCACCUGUGCAACCCACUCCUUCGGCUCAUCUUGGCCGUCCUCUAAGAAGGCCGACGCCGCCUCCGACGAGGCCUCCGUCCGUCCGCUCACCGACGGCGUCCUCUCCGCGCUGGAGAUCGCCUUGAGCCGCAUAUCCAACUCGCGCUCCGACGGCGCCGCCGGCGGCGAAGACCCCGAGCCCAUUCCGGCACGCCGAUACGCAUAGUGGAACCGAUCCGACGCAGAUCCCAUUUCGGAGUCCGUGUAGCCGACAUGAUGGUGGGGGAGUCGCUGACUCCCCCCGGACGCGCCGGCGCAAGGCUUGCAGUGCCGGUACGCCCCCGACGCCUUCAACGCCAUGUCCCUAAUCUGAUCCAAGACACUCAAAUUGAGCAAGCGGGGGAAACAAGCAACCAAGCAACCCUAGAUGGGAGAAUAGGUCUCACCUGAGAGGUGAGAGCUUUGAUGGCCUGGCGGGUGCUGGGAGUAGCGGCGCCGUUGCCCGUGCCCUCGCCAUCCGGAUCAUGGAUCGGCGAUUCGGGGCCGCUGGCGACAUUCCUGGAGGCCGCAGUGGCGACGCUUAGCUGCUUCGAGCAGGCAAUGCAGGUCAGCAUCUGGACGAUGCAAAGAAAGAGCAAGUGCCUACGGAACCUGAGAGAAGAGCGAACGAGGUCGUUAAUGGCCGCUUCGCUGGAGGCUGUGAAGAACAAGAGAUGAUUUAUAGCGGUUUAAAUCUCUUCCAGGGGGAAAAACCAAUGCAAUUUACAUUUAUCAUUAUUUUUUUUUAAAAAAAAUAAACCGUUUAUAGAA